rnacentral:rRNA from 1 species
UACGGAGGGAGCUAGCGUUGUUCGGAAUUACUGGGCGUAAAGCGCACGUAGGCGGCUUUGUAAGUUAGAGGUGAAAGCCCGGGGCUCAACUCCGGAACUGCCUUUAAGACUGCAUCGCUUGAAUCCAGGAGAGGUGAGUGGAAUUCCGAGUGUAGAGGUAAAAUUCGUAGAUAUUCGGAAGAACACCAGUGGCGAAGGCGGCUCACUGGACUGGUAUUGACGCUGAGGUGCGAAAGCGUGGGGAGCAAACAGG